rnacentral:rRNA from 1 species
ACACAUGCAAGUCGAGCGGUAGAGAGAAGCUUGCUUCUCUUGAGAGCGGCGGACGGGUGAGUAAUGCCUAGGAAUCUGCCUAGUGGUGGGGGAUAACGUUCGGAAACGGACGCUAAUACCGCAUACGUCCUACGGGAGAAAGCGGGGGACCUUCGGGCCUCGCGCCAUUAGAUGAGCCUAGGUCGGAUUAGCUAGUUGGUGAGGUAAUGGCUCACCAAGGCGACGAUCCGUAACUGGUCUGAGAGGAUGAUCAGUCACACUGGAACUGAGACACGGUCCAGACUCCUACGGGAGGCAGCAGUGGGGAAUAUUGGACAAUGGGCGAAAGCCUGAUCCAGCCAUGCCGCGUGUGUGAAGAAGGUCUUCGGAUUGUAAAGCACUUUAAGUUGGGAGGAAGGGUAGUAACUUAAUACGUUGCUACUUUGACGUUACCGACAGAAUAAGCACCGGCUAACUUCGUGCCAGCAGCCGCGGUAAUACGAAGGGUGCAAGCGUUAAUCGGAAUUACUGGGCGUAAAGCGCGCGUAGGUGGUUCAGUAAGUUGGAAGUGAAAUCCCCGGGCUCAACCUGGGAACUGCUUUCAAAACUGCUGAGCU